CUAUGAGAAAAGAAAAGAAGAAUGAUUGCAGAAAAUCCUAAUAGUAUUCAUACUAACUGUUGCAGAGGUAAGUGAGCAGAACCAGGAGAACAUUAUACACAGUAACAGCAAUAUUACAUGAUAAACAAUUGUGAAUGGCAGCUAUUCUUAGCAGUACAGUGAUCCAAUACAAUCUUCAAAGAAUCUUGAUGAAAAAUGUCAUUCUCUCCCCAGAGAAAGAACUGAUGGAGGCUGAAUACAGACUGAAACAUACUGUAUUUUACUUAUUUUUCCUCAUUUUUUGGUGUAGGUUUUCAUCCACAAAAUUACUAAUAUGGUAAAAUGUUUUACAUUAAUGCAUAUGUAAAAUGGAAAUUCAGGGUUUCAUGCAAUAAUUCUCUCUUUAUGCUCUAUUGUCUUUAUGUAAAUUACUUUCAUAUUUUGGGAAUUUUUAUUUUCAGAUUAAAAAAAGAAACAAUUCUUUACUAUGGAAUCUGGAAAUUUUCAGGUAGCAGAGGUCUGAGAGACCUGAAGAAAGAGGAAGAAGAUUGUUUAUGGUUUUCUAAAAAGAAUUGCAACUCAUGAAAGUGAAAGCUAGAUAAAAUAUGAAUUAGAAUAAACUGUAGAACAAUUAUAUUAAGAGGCAAAUGAGCAACUCUAGCAUCUCUUCAAAACUGGAAAGGGGAGAAGCUGUAUAAGAUCCAUGAUUAUUGGUUAAAUCUUUUACAAAGGGAUGUGAAUUAGUAACAAGCAUUUUGCUAGCUUCUCAAACUCCACCUGACUUGACCUUUUUGACUAGAAGUCAUAUAUCCAUUACUAAAUGAUAAGAACACCGAGUCUUUUCCAAAAAAAAGUAAAUUAUGUUUUUGUGAAUUUCAUACAAAGUAUCCAGUUUGUAUCACUAAAGAUAAAUAAAAUCCCUAUAUGAGAAAUAAAUUCAUUGUCUGAGUAGCUAAAGGAGUAUAUUAAGACAUCCCUGAGUUGCAAAAGGUAAUUUGUUAUUGAUUUGUCAGUUAUUGAAUUAUCUGUCUCAACCUUAAUCUUUAUUCUGCUGGGCAUGAUUAUGACAACACAUCUUAUUCAGUUCUGUACUUGAGAUUUACUUAUAUAGCAUACGAAUAAAAACCAGAUGUAAAUGUAUUGAGAAUGCCAGAGUAUUUUAUGUCCACAGGGAUAACUCUUUGAAAUGCUCCACCAACAAUAAUGCCAAGAACAAUUGAUAUAAAAUGUAUUUUUCAGGAAUAUAGUUUAAAUACAAUUUGGUUCUGCUGGGGCUAAAAUUCAUUAUAUUCUCUCCAAUAUAAAACCAAAGAAUCCUUCCAAAUUAAAAAAAAAAAAGAAUCAAACCAAAUAUCAUCAUCAGUCUUUAUGACUCCAGCAAAACACACAUUAAAUAGUUCCUUCAUCUUAAGGAUUUUUUCUUCAGGAAUUUCAAAACUUCAUUUGGAAUUCAUAAAUGUAAAUUUUUUGAUGGAUUAAAAGGAAAAUAAAUAGAGUCGUUGAACUAAUUAAUGAAGAUAAUGCCUACAAAUAACUUGAUCUUCUUCAGGAAGGACACAUCCAGCAUAAAAGCAUCAAAGAGAUGGCUUUGAAUGAAUACAUUAAGAGACUAGCAAUCUAAAAUAAAAUCUGAAAGGAGGGGAUGCAUGUAAAGGAAACAACAUUUUAAAAAUAUGUUGGCACCUUUACAACCUAUUUUUGCAAUUGUAAAAUGGACUAUAAUGCAUUUUGAAAGUGUUAUUACAAAAACCUGCAUACUUUUAAGGAAACAUGAGUUCAAUAACUCUGAGGCAGCUAUAUAAAAACUGACUUUUUUUCUUAAAAAAUACAGAGAAUUGGUAGUCAUAGAGAACAUGAUAAAUGGAUUAAAAACAAUAAAACAACAACAGCAGAAACACUUUUGGAACAAGCAUAUAUUCCUUUCUUCUAUCUGGUAACAGGUGGAUACCAUUGGAUAUCUUAUAUAAUUGAUUGUUUUUUAAAACCCUUACCUUCCAUCUUGGAAUCAAUGCUGUAUAUUGGUUCCAAGGCAUAAGACUGGUAAGGACUAGUCAAUGGGGGCCAAGUGACUUGCCCAGGGUCACACAGCUAGAAAGUGUCGGGGUCAAAUUUGAACCUAGAACCUCCCAUCUCUAGGCCUGGCUCUCAAUCCAUUGAGCUACCCAGCUGCCCCCUAUCUUAUAUAAUUGAAAGAAAUUUGCUUUUAGAUAGAAAUUUUGAAAUAGCUAAGAUCAAAGAAUAACUGGAAAGUCUCCCUAUAGGUAACAUGUGCAUGGUCUCAGCAAGUGACUUAAUGACAAGGAAUCAUUAAACAAAUGCUUAAGCCAUGCGGAUUUACCCAUUUAAAUGGAGAGGCUUAUGUUUGAAAUUCAAAACCAGGUCACCUUUCUACCACAAAUUGCUGAAAGAUUAUCUGUAGAGUCCAGCAUUGGUCAGAUGUAGUCGAUAAACAUUUAUAAGGUUGCUACUAUAUACCAGGUACUGUACCAAGCUGGUAACCAUCACAAAAAAGUUCAAAGAGGGUAGAGUGGAGAUAAGGGACCAAGGGAAGGCUCUGGCCAGACUUGAUUUACCAGCCACCCAGUUACCAAGGGGCGGAGGCUGGUCCAGAUCUACAUCAUCUUUUCUCCAAAAUCAGAACUCAUCAACUAAGCCAACUUGUCUCUCAUGCUUUUCAGAUUGGUAACCGAAUGUAAAACGGGAGUCUCCACCCUUCCUUUACAGCUCCAGUUCCAUACCGAGUCAUCACCAUACCCUCUUCCCAGUUGUAAGCAAGCCUGCCUGAAAGACAGGCUCUAUGAAGGAUGCAGCUAUGACCACGCAUUAUUCAAGGUAAGCCAAAGUACUCCAUGCGUCUUGCACUCUGGUGCCUCGUGAUCUUUGGUUAGGCUUCCCAACCUAUCCCUAAGAGGGUGAGGAAGCAUCUUUGUUGUUUGCCUGUUGAACUUCUCUUUUCACACUGACACUUGUGUAGUCCCUAAUAGUGGGUGGCUCCCAGGAGGCCUCCAAUUGAAAGUACUUUUUUUUGCCUUCAAAGUCUCCUCCAUCUUCUCCGAUUCUCAGUCUCUCUCUCUUUGUCCCUGUAAAAACGCUCUCCGGUGUCUUCACUUUUCUGUCUUCGUCCUUAGGUUAUAGGCUAAUUGAGAUAAAGCUUAGCGUGUUUGGGCUCUGCACCUCAGGGUCAGACGUCAUGUGCAAUAGUACAUCAUGGCUUAGUGAAUGCUCAUCGCAUUGAUUUCAAUUUGCCCCUCAAGGUAGGAGGAAGGAUUCUGCACUGGAGCCACAGACAGAAAGCCAGACCAGACCGCACCAUGCUUGGGAACGCCAGUUUGUCAGUUAGGGGACCAGAUCCAGGCGAGACGGGUUAGCCCUUGUUUCUCCUCCUGGGCUUCUUCCCGUGUGGGGCUGCGUGAGGGAGAGAAGGAGUGCGUGUGCAAGAGUGGUGUGUAGGACCGGAAGGCGCAGGCGCGCUGUUCACCAGUCUGCAGCCCGGGCGCUCUCAGUGCAGUUUCUCUGGGAGUUGAUGGCAGCACCACAGUGCAGCCGCCUGGCAGAGAGCGAAGCUCAAAGACCCACUGUUCGGGAAGAACCAAACAUGUAUGGGGAGCAGGGCGGCUGCGGCUCUGGAGCCAGAGACUGGGGCACAGAGCUUCCGCUCGCCCGACUGUCCUGACCUGGCUCCCCUGUCCGCCUACCCCAGCCCCCAAAGUAUGUCAGCCAAGUCCAAAGGGAACACGUCUUCUUCUCCAAGCGAGGGACCGCCGGCAGCCUCCAAAACCAAGGUGAAGGAGCAGAUCAAAAUCAUCGUCGAGGAUCUGGAAUUAGUCCUGGGAGACCUGAAGGACGUGGCCAAGGAACUUAAAGAGGUGGUUGACCAGAUUGACACGUUGACUUCUGACCUACAGUUGGAGGAUGAGAUGACCGACAGCUCCAAAACAGAUACGCUGAACAGCAGCUCCAGCAGCACCACCGCGUCCAGUUUAGAGAAGAUCAAAGUGCAUUCCAAUGCACCGCUCAUCAAGCCACCCGUCCACCCUUCUGCGAUCCUCACAGUCCUGAGAAAGCCCAAUCCUCCACCUCCUCCUCCGCGACUGACGCCUGUGAAGUGUGAAGAUCCGCCCAGGCCUGUGGCCGCCAUCAAUUCUGUGAAGACCAAUGGCACGCUUCUCCGGAAUGGAGGCUUACCUGGAGCGUCCAACAAAAUCCCCAAUGGGGACGUGUGCUGUCUGCCUGGCAGUACCUUGGAUAAGGCGCCGAUGCCGCCUCUGAUGCACAGACCUGAGAAGGACAGGUGUCCCCAGGCAGGAACGAGGGAACGGGUGCGGUUCAGUGAGAAGAUCCAGUACCAUGGCUACUGUCCUGACUGUGACGUCCGGUAUAACAUAAAGAACCGGGAGGUUCACCUCCACAUGCCAGGAAAGCUUCCUCACCAGGGCCCUCCUCUCCCGCCCCCAGCACCCCCCGUACCCCCCUUUCCUCUGGAAAAUGGAGGGUUGGGAAUAAGCCACAGCAACAGUUUCCCCCCUCUAAGACCUGCAACUGUGCCUCCACCUACUGCACCUAAACCACAGAAGACCAUUCUGAGGAAAUCAACCACUACAACAGUGUGAUGUAUGCCACUUCCAAAACUUUCAUUUUCUAUAUUAUAAAUAUAAAAUAAUAGAUAAUGAUGAGCACUUUCUACUCAAGCAAUAAGAAGUCCAAAUAUAUGACAGCCUGUGUUCAACAAAGUGGCAUAAAAUCACUUGGCUGAAAGAAAUUUCUACGUUUGGAGGCAUGUCGGUUAAUUGUUUUCACAUCAGAUUCAUCACUAUGACUUCUUGCCAUCUAGAACUGAUUAAAGGAACCAAGAACCUGACCCUCCUCAAAGCAGUGAAGCCCUCCAAGAUGGAGCAGAAGAUGUCACUGGAGCAAUCUACAUCAAUUCAUCCCCUUGAACCCAAUAGCCAUGAGCUGAGAGUCCUGAAGAAAAACCACAGCCUUAAGUUUCAUUCACUUGGAAAUUGCUAGGAAGAUAAAGCAUAGACAGAAGGGAUCAAAGCAUACUAUUUUAUGGAAUAUUACACUUGUGGAAACAAAGUUUUACCAAUUAGGCCAUGCAUUUAUCUUUUUUUUUUCCUUCUGUGCAUGUAAAAACGGAGGGGAAGAAGUUUGGGCAGGGAGGAGAAAAAGAGAAAAGAGAUACCUCUAUUUAGAAUUAAUUACUUCCCCAAAAGAAACUAUCAAAAUUUAUAACUAAAUGCAAAGUAGGAGCACUUAGGUCACAGUAGUAAACCAUAUUGGACAAGAGGAAUGUUUCUGUUUGUGGAGAAAGAAGAUUGUUGCUAUCCCUUGAAUAAACUCAAAGCCAUAGAGAAACAGCAGUGAAGAUGCUCAAUGUUUGAAAAAAUUCUGUCCAAUCCUUCCCACAUAUUUGAAGAAAGGUUUUGGGAAGUCAGCUCUUACCAACUGCAUCUCAAUGAACUUCUAACUGUUUGCACUGUCACUUCCAUUCAGGGUAAUGAUGUGUGCUGGUAUUUGCACAGAUGGUCCCAUGAGAUUUUAGACAGCCAACAAACUGUUUCUUGUAGAUGCUCUGAAAAGGGAAUAUUGAAAAAACUGUGAAAAAAAUAUUCGUUUUUCUUCAAAAAGAGGAGAGGACUUACAUUCAGUGAAAAUGAUCCUUUCUUAAAUUUCAUAAACCAGCAACAAGAAAGUCACCCACAAAUUUCAUUUGGUCAAGUAAAUUAAAAAGGGAUCAAUUAUUUUUUAAUGAAAUCAUUUUAUAUCAUAAUAAUAGCCAAGAAGUCAAAUUCAAUGAACUGGACAGUCCAUCAUUCUUACUGAACUUGGAUACUGUUCUCCCAUUGAUAGUAAAACAAACAAACAAACAAAAACAUUUAUAAUAUGUAUUUGACAUAUUAAAGUUUUUAUAGCCAUUUAUCUAUGCUUCAUGAAAAAAUGUAACAAACAGCAUUUUCAGUUUAUUUUUCUAAAUAAAUGUGUUGUUUGUAUUA